CAUACGAGCCUAAAGUAAAACACUGAGGUUUCUGAACCGGAAUAAUGCCUGUUGCCAAGUGCUGGAGAGCCUCUGCAUGUCCAAGCGUUUAAUUAAUAAAGCAUACUAUCUGCUGUACAUAAUCCUAGUUUUGAAGACCUUAAAGCCUGAGAUACUUGGCUGCCUUUAAGAGCCUGAGGCAGCUUGGGUAGGAUAGAGCUUCCCAAUCUGCGUGGGUCCUUUCCCAGGCGUCGAAGAGGACGGUCCUUGUUCCCGGUGGGCACGUCAGCGUACCUGUUUCAGAAUGGUGUGGGACGUUCUCCAGGAGUACUGUCCUGUAGCCAUUAAGCAGCCCUGAAGGUAAUAAGAUAGGCUAAAAGCCUAACUAAAGCAUUUGGCAUGCCACAGGCUAAAGUUAAUCAUGUGUAUGCAUAAACAUUGCUAAUUUGUAUGCAGUUAUACUGUCAGAGGAUUAGUUAAUUAUCAGAAUUCGUGCAUGUGACAUUGCUUUUUGAAUGUAUUGUUCCAGAAUUUUUGCAUUUUUGAACCUAUGGCACCUGUUUUUAAAUGGAAAUAUAAAUUACAGCUGACAGCCUUCAUGAAGGAUUGUGGGAUUAGAAAGUUUUCAUAAAAUUCUAAUGCACUUGCUUUGGAAAUGCAAACUAAAUUAAAGCCAUCAAUGCUUAGAAUUUUGCUUUAUGGCAGUAAGAAACGUGAAGUAAACACUAAAAAAAAAAAGCUUUAGUGUAUCUCAUGGGCAUUUAAUGAAGACUUAACUGAUCCAAAAUGGACACGAUAAGAAAUAAAAUUUCUCAAUGCUUGUGUGUUUUAUACAUACAUUUACUACAUUUUUAUGAAAACAGAAAGAAGGUAAGCAGAUAUGCUUUCAAAAUACAACUGUACUAAAUAUCAUGUGAAAAUGCUAAUCUUUACCAAAAAUGUCCUCAUGGUAGGUUUAUUAAUUAGGCUUGGCUUUCACAAGGCAUCUGCAACACCAUAAAUAAAGAGGGACAUAUCAUCCA
rnacentral:lncRNA from 1 species